rnacentral:rRNA from 1 species
AGAAAUGUUUUCCGCGUUGGACCGCACACAAGUCUGUUGGAAUACAGCGGCAUAGUGGUGAGACCCCCGUAUAUGGUGCGGACGCCCAGCGCUUUGUGAUACAUUUUCGAAGAGUCGAGUUGUUUGGGAAUGCAGCUCAAAUUGGGUGGUAAAUUCCAUCUAAAGCUAAAUAUUGGCGAGAGACCGAUAGCGAACAAGUACCGUGAGGGAAAGAUGAAAAGCACUUUGGAAAGAGAGUUAACAGUACGUGAAAUUGUUGGAAGGGAAACGCUUGAAGUCAGACUUGCUUGCCGAGCAAUCGGUUUGCAGGCCAGCAUCAGUUUUCCGGGAUGGAUAAUGGUAGAGAGAAGGUAGCAGUUUCGGCUGUGUUAUAGCUCUCUGCUGGAUACAUCUUGGGGGACUGAGGAACGCAGUGUGCCUUUGGCGGGGGUUUCGACCUCUUCACACUUAGGAUGCUGGUGGAAUGGCUUUAAACGACCCGUCUUGAACCCCG